AACAACAAUACUAAAAUACGCCAUAACAAUAUUCGAUCCCGUCCAUCCAUUCCUGCAAAGCUGUUCGUCCAACAGGAUGAAGAUUUUGACCAGCCGAGUGAACUGGUGUAUAGUCGAAUGAGAAGUUUGGAUUUAAGCGAUGACAUUCCAUAUGAAAGUGUAGCCGAGAGAAAUAUUCUAUCAUAUGUAAUAGUUAAUCCUUCGCCGAAACGUAAACUAAAGAACGGUGACAUGAUAUACGUCAUCCAGCCGAGUUCCAUGUUUGCUGUACCAAAUAAACUUAAAUGGAAAUCUCCGAAAGUGCCUCGUAGAAACUUUGACAAUGAAUCUGAUUCAACGCCUAUUUUAUCACGACCUACUCGCAUUAGUUGGAAUUUACCGGCAUAUCACAACAACUCUUCAAACGGCAAGAGUCCAAUAUCAAAUGAAGAAUUUGAGAAGCGAAAAAGAUCUAAAUCAGAAUCUCAAGCGUAAUGUGGAUAUUCUGCUGAUGAUGUUCGGUGGAUUGAAGGCAGCUUAUAUAAAGAGAUCUCAAUCUAAAACAUUGAUACUGGUCAUAAGAAUCAGUGGUGGUUAAAGUGUGGACCAUUAUCCUGAGUUUAACUGGAGCUAUUACUGUAUUGGUCGUCACCUGGUCAAAUUGUUGUGGACCAUCAUCCUGGAAAUUUUACUGUAUUGGUCGUGGUCAACAAUUGGACUAUAAUCGUGAACUUGACUGGAACUUUUACUGUAUUGGUCGUGGUCAAAAUGUGGACUGACUGGAACUUUUACGGUAUUGAUGGUGGUCAAAACAUGGAUCAUUAUCGCCUGUUUAUCUAAAGUGUUUGAAAUAUGAAGCACUACCGGGGGCGUUCGUCUACAACUAUUACUGCCGGUAAAUAUUGUAUCCACGAUUCCAUGAUCUGAAAUAGGUUACCACAAAGUAUGUGUAUUUGUUGGUGUUCACAUGCUUCAUUCCUGUGGUGGUUCCUUAGAUGUAUACUCAUGGCCUUUGGGACAAUGGUUGGGGUGAAGCUAUGAAUUUUAUUUUAUUUCACGACAUCACAUCCUGUUUUAACAACCUCGUCUCUGUAUCAAAAGUUAUUUAAUUCUUGUCAACUGGUGUGUAUGGUGUUCACGGCCAAUAUCAAAUGUUACACACAACUUGUCAGCUAAUGUUUAUAGUAAUCACAACCUAAACAUUAUCAAAUGUUACACAACUUAAAUUUUAUCAAAUGUUCAGGUUGUAACUGGUGUAUAUGGUAUUCACAGCCUGACCAAUAUCAAACGUUACACAACUUGUUAACUGUUGUCAUGGUAAUCAAAACCUACACGGUAUCAGAUGUAUACAACUGGUGUUUAUGGUUAUCACAACCUUAACAGUAUCAAAUGUUAGCAGUUUGUCAACUUGUAAUCACAACCUAUAUACGAUCAAAUGUUAGACAACUUGUGAACUGGUGUAUAUGGUCUUCACAACCUGACCAGUAUCAAAUGUUAGACAACUUGUCAACUGGUGUAUAUGGUAUUCACAACCUGACGUAUAUCAAAUGUUAGACAACUUGUUAACUGGGGUUUAUGGUAUUCACAACCUAGCUAACUCUAAAGCAGAUUCAUUCAAUAAACGAAUAUAUUGAAAUUACUCAAUAGACCAUUUUAUUUGAAAAGAACAUUGGUUUAUUAUUAUGAACUCGAGUAUUGGAAGUCUACACAUUUGACAAUCCACACACCCAUAAAAGUUUUAAAAAAUUAUUAAGAAAAAAAUGUAUUAUUGUUUACCAAAUCACCAAUAGAAGAUGACACUGGCCAUAUGUUUUAAUUGUGAGUUGACCAUUCCACAAUUCACAAACGGAAAGUGAAAAUAUUUCACGUGUAUCAAUAUGGUAUCAAUAUCCACUCUCCUCCAUCCUCUGUUUCGCCAAAAUAUUCUUUACCUUAAAUGCCUAAUAGCUGACUAACUCUAUCAAAAUAAUGCUGUUAGGGGUACUUAAUUCCAAGACAUCUGUUAGUGGUGAUAGUAAAGGGUAGACUGAAGUCGAGGUGACAUUGGCCAAAUUGGAGUUAAUUGGUUCUAUAGGACUUGGUGGUUGGGAUGGCCCAGUGGUCUAGAGUGCCGCGUUUCGACCUCUAGCUGGCCGGUCACCUCUGGUUUGCGGCUGUGGUUUCAAAUCCCUGGUGUGAAUGUAUGUGGCUUGGAGAUAGGGGGUGCCUUCCGGGUCCUUUAGAGGUCUAUUCAGUGAAUGACCCAUGCGUUGUACUUGAUAACGAACGGUAAAUGUCACCUACACAUUAUUUUUAUAAAAUAAAAGUCUUAGGACACCGGUCUCCAUUUCCAGAUGAAGACUAACGGGUUUAAGUUGUUUGAAAACAUAUCACAUACAUUGAGCUGGUUGCGCGGCCCUGAGAUAGGGGAUUUUAAAGGAUUUGAAUACAAAAUUAAGAAGUUUUAUUCUCCCAAAUAUUAUCAGGAUUGGCCCUUUAAACACUAAGAACAACAUUCCAAAGGAUCUAACUAGUUAGAACAACUGCCCACAUAACAUUAUAACGAUCGGUUAACUCUUUUUUAAACGUUAAUUUAACGUCAGGAAAUUAUGUAACGCCAGGAGAGAGAGAGAGAGUAGGUCAUGAUACAACGCGCUAAUCAUUCACCCCCCCCCCCGAUCACUAUUGAUAUUAUCAUAUAUAUAUAUAUAUACUCCUUAUUAAUAUGUCUCAUUAACACGCAUGUUUUUUUAUUAUCUUAUUCUUUAUAUUGUUUAUUAAAACUAACAUAAGAGAUUAAAAUUGUCGUAUUACGUCAUUCUUAUAGUCUUUCAAGAUGGAGUUUGUCAUAAUUUCCGACAAACACAUCAUAUGAUAUCGAUAUAUAACAAAUUGUUUUUUUUUUUGUCUAAAUAUUUCUAAACAAACCAAUCAAUUUUUUUUAAUUUCCUAGAAAAGGAGACGAAAAGCUUUUUUUAUUCGAAUAUUAUGUGUUUCAUACUGUAACCUUCAUAUUUUCAUGGUAAAUGGCCUGUGGGACAAAAAAACUAUUUUUACUCAAUUUAUAAUAAUUUUUAAAAUUAUUAUAGAAUUAUUAUACAGUCUUUUACAAAAGUUUUUGACAAUUUUGAUUCGAUCGAAGAAUUCUAAGAGCUCGUUUGUCCUACUGAAACGGUGCACGUGCGCCUGAAGGAAUAUUUGAGUUUUAUACGUCCACAUUGCAUUUUAGGUUCGUUGCUUUCACCCUUUUACAAUAUUAUUUUAAAAUUCGACAGGAUUUAUUUCUCUUUGGGUUCCGAAAGAACGACAUCUGUCGAAAUUCAGUAUUCGACAAAUCCCAACUUAUGCAGGUAUCGCCCAAGUUGAAAUUUAUGCAAUGUUAUAAAUUGACACUCGGCAGAUUUUUACCUCUGAUGGCUUGUUCAUACAAGUGUGGGGAUUGAUUCCUUAACUUUUUAAUCGAGUGUGGUGUUAUGGUAUCGAUGACCAAGGAGCCAAUUUACUGUUCAGGUCUAUUAUAAUUACGACUGAUUAAAUGUGUUCAUGGUUUGUUGUUUAAAUAGGAAUUGACAAAAAGCAUAAAUAACAAAAUAACAAUUACUUGGCUUUUAUUAGAGCGACUUUUUAACUAGACUUCUCUAGUAUUCAUCAGACAAUCUAACUAGGCUUCCCUCCUGUUCUUCAGGCAUUUGAACUAGGCUUCUCUGGUAUUUUCCAGGCAUCAACUAGUCAAUCAACUUGGCUAGGGCUAUAGUCUUCAUCGGGCAUUUCAACUUGGCUAGUCAAGUAUUCAUCGGGCAUUUCAAUUUGGCUUCUCUAGUAUACACUACCCCUGUCUUCAUCAACCCAGUCGGGCGGAACACUGGGACGUUAAACUCCAUUUCAUUUUAUUUCAUAUUCAUUGACUGUUACACAAGCCUAGUUGAAACGUUGGUAUAAUAAAAGCUAAGUAAAUGUUAUUUGGUUAUUUUUAAGUAUUUAUGUUGAUGAUUUGUUGGUAUGUAUUGUUUUAUCAUCUGAUUGUUUUGUAUAUUAGUAUUUAUACAAUAUUUCUAUUUUUGUACAGUAAUUAAUACCAUAAAUAAAUAAUAUAA